rnacentral:rRNA from 1 species
UACGUAGGGUGCGAGCGUUGUCCGGAAUUAUUGGGCGUAAAGAGCUCGUAGGCGGUGUGUCACGUCGUUCGUGAAAACCUGCAGCUUAACUGUGGGCGUGCGGUCGAUACGGGCAUCACUGGAGUUCGGCAGGGGAGACUGGAAUUCCUGGUGUAGCGGUGAAAUGCGCAGAUAUCGUUUGGAACGCCAAUGGUGAAAACAGGUCGCUGGGGAUGAGCUGACGCUGAGACACGAAAGCCAGGGGAGCAAACGGG